rnacentral:rRNA from 1 species
AUUUACAGCCAUAUCACAUUGAAAACACUGGUUCUCUCCUGAUCACUGAAGUUAAGCAACAUCAAGCUUUAUUAGUUCUUAGAUGGAUGAUUGCUCAGGAAAUCUAGGUAUUGUAAGCA